rnacentral:tRNA from 1 species
GCUGAUGUAGCUCAGUCGGUAGAGCACUCCCUUGGUAAGGGAGAGGUCAUCGGUUCAAUCCCGAUCAUCAGCUCCA